rnacentral:snRNA from 1 species
GGAUAUGAGGGUGGUCUGGCUAUGACUUCUGUCACCUACUGAUUUUCAGGUUUGAUUCCACUAUCGAGCUGGCUAUCUGUGGGUCUUCUUCCUCCCUCACUGCUUCAUUAAGUUCUUUCCCACAGCUAUUGUGUGGUUGGUUAAAAUGGACAAUUUGGACAACUUUCCCCGAGUAGAGGAGGACCAGUCUUCAGUCAAGGGUGUAUGAAUAGAUGUGCUCCUCUGCUAGAACCUCCAAACAAGCUCUUAAAUAUUUAAAUGGUUUCAAAAACCUAGAUUUUUUUUAAACUCCUACAAAACCAGAGAUCCAGUGACCCAGAGGCUCU